UGUUUAACUUCAGAUAUCUUCAGCCUCUGCUUUUGUACACCCUGAAUAUUUUCUCUCUCAACAUGCAGAGAGAAGCCCAGAUCACACAGAGAGAUCACAUGGAGGGGAGCCGAGGUGAUCUGGUUGACGGCCCCAGAACAGCUCCGAGCUAACACACCAACAUUACCUGCCAGUCAAGCAAGCAAGCAAUCUUGGACUUUCCAACCAGCCAAAGCUUGGGGAGACUGACGCAGAAGCACCCAGGUGAUCACAGUCAACCUACAGACUCCUGAGGAAUAAAAAGUGAUUUUUGUUAUUCACAAACAUGACGGAUGUUGCUCCUGAUGACACUGAACUAGGGACUAAAGAGACUAUGCAUUCGCACAUGGCAAUUUGCCAGGCUCUUACCAUAUGAACUGCUGUCACAGGUCAUGAAUCUCCAACAAGUCACACGUGAAGGCGUCGUUUUUGUCGGUGGCCAGUUUAUGCAGUUCCAGUAGUGACUGAUUCGCACUAGUUUCUAAGUGUGAGGGGGACUCCGUCCCAGUCUCCGUGCUCUGGCUCCUCCCUAACUUGAAGGAAGAUUCGGCCACCUUCUUGAUCUACAGUUUCAACCGUUUUUCAGCAUGUUCUCUCACCUCCUAGGGCUGGUGAAGAAAAUGCUGGCAAAGGUCUUCCAAGCCACAGCAUCGCGGUCCAAGUAGUAGGUCAUGGACAGGCACAGUGACGGUACGGCUCCUGCUGACGGGCGGGGGGUGGCGCGUCGGAGCCCCGGCGGGGACGUGCAUUCAUGGUGGCAGCAGCGGUCCACUCCCGAGGACAGCUGUCUGCGGGGACCUUUGGCCUCUCCAAUCAUUUUUAUGUUCCCCGGUUUGGGAUUCUAGACAUUUUGGCAUCGAUCAGUGACUGGCAUCUCAGGGAGGGCAGAAAGUGUCAAGCCCUCCACUUCCUUUCACUUUGGCCUUUUCAACACUAAGUACUGGGUUCUGGGAACAUCGCUUUGCCGGACCUAAAGGCUCUAGGGCCUGGGUGUGGCUUCCUUUCUCAAUAUGGCGAUUGUGGGGCCAGUGCUUAAUAGUCAUAUAUGCCUGUUCAUUCAUUGGGAUGUUUAAAAUUGAAAUAUAUCAGCGAAUUGACAUUGCAAUUUGUGAUCCCAAAGGAAUAACGCUCCUUUUCUAAGAAUGCUUAAAGAACCUCAAUUCCACAUGGCCAAGAUUUUGCUGAAAAAGAUGAGGUUUGGACUUUAUACUCAAAUAGGCAAAAUAAUUUGAGUCCAGAUAUUAAGGGAUAUUAAUAUUUGGUGAUUUUAACUUGCAAGAGGAUUUAACCAUUCUCCCUUGGAAUUUGAUAAUGGGAGAGUGUUUGUUAUUCACAUUGAGAUGUCCCUAUAUUGUGGAUAUUUUAAUUAUUUGAAUGUGUUUAAUGCCCCUGAAGAAUUUCUGGAAUACUGUGUGGGUAGAGUAGUUGGUUGUAAUUUGGGAUGGCAAACUGAAUAGGAAACAGAUUUUUACUCUUGGGUACAGAGUGGCCUUGGAGCUGAUUUGGAUAACGCAUUGUUCCCAUUAAUUCUAGCAAAAUCUGAAACGACUACCAGUGGUCCCAGGAUGAUUCCCAAAGAGCAGUGGUUGGUAGUGGAGAGGCAGCCUAAUGAAGGUGGGGUCAGCGUUUCCCUUAUAGACCACUGGCCCCCUUUCCCUAAAAGGAUGCACUCCUGCUUGACUACAGGCUUUCUGAAAAAGUUUAAAGGGUUUUGAAGAAAAAAGGGAGGGAAUUUUAUGGGGAGCACUUAAUCCUCCCUCUUCAUGUUUCCUGCCUGUGAAAGAAACUCAGAAUCUAACUGCCCCUUUAUUGACCUCAACCCUGGGGCAGUGGAGUGACAUAUCUGAUUGGUAAAAUUGGGAAGAAAAAAUAGGCUGAUCUGCUGUUUAUUUGCUCAGCUCAGAUCUACUACCUCUUCCUCUUAGAAUUAACGGAAGUUAGCUACUCUCUAGAAACACAGGUUGUUUGUUUUUUUUCAGAGGUAGUUUCUCUUCCCUCUGACCACGACAGACACUGGAUGGAUAAGUCUGCCUAAUUUGGGGGUUCGGUGUUAGGAGUCCAUUUAGUUCUUAGAACAAAGCUAUGACCUUUAACUUAGCAUUAAAGUAAAAGAAGUAGUAUUUUGGUCUCAACAUGCCACUCUGUUUUACUUCUCAAUGUGUUUAGAAACUAAAUGGUAAAGAAGGGGACUAUUUUUUGGGAGGGAGGAGGUCCUUCCUCAGAAAUUCUUAACUGUUUUUACCCCUUAUUCUUAUUACAUUACUUUUUAAAAAGUUUUACAUACAAGGAAUAUUAUAUUAUGUUAUUUUUUUAUAGUAAGCUGAUGGAUGAAGAGAUUUUGUCAGUUAAGAAAACAAUAAAAAAGUCUAUGGUCUAUAGAUACCCGUGGAGAUUUAUUUUAUAAACCUUUUUUCCCCAAAUAAAUGAAAGUGUCAGCAUCCCUCUAAGAACAGGUGUGUACAUUUACAAUAAAUAAAUUAUUCAUUUGCUAAUAUUGUGAAAUUGUUUUGUAGUGCACGACAGUAAAAGAAACCUGAAAUAAUCUCCAUCCCUUGCAUUAUGCAUUGUAGCAUUAGAAAACAGGGUUUGUUUGUUUUUGUUU